rnacentral:rRNA from 1 species
UACGGAGGGUGCGAGCGUUGUCCGGAAUCACUGGGCGUAAAGGGCGCGUAGGCGGCUCGGUAAGUCCGCUGUGAAAGUCCAGGGCUCAACCCUGGAAUGCCGGUGGAAACUGUCGAGCUAGAGUCCGGAAGAGGCGAGUGGAAUUCCUGGUGUAGCGGUGAAAUGCGCAGAUAUCAGGAGGAACACCAAUUGCGAAGGCAGCUCGCUGGGACGUUACUGACGCUGAGACGCGAAAGCGUGGGGAGCAAACAGG